CCCUUAUUUCAUGAUGGACGAAUGUAGUGCGAGUUAUAAAUAGACAAUUUUUCCCUUAAUUUUUUUCUCCCCUCUUCCUGCAUUUUUGGGUUGACUUUUUGGUCUAGAAUUGGAGAAAAGGGAUCAAAUUUGCAAUUUCAUAGCAGUUUUGGGUAAUACUGAUGAUAUUACAGCGGAGGGAUAGGGGGUGUAAAGUGUCUUUCUGCAGAGCAAUCAUUGUGUCGGAAGUGAGAUUUCCACCCCUGUCAACUUCAAAUCUGUGUAGCAAAAAAUCUAAAUGGUCAACCCCCUACAAAAUUAUGAUGAGGAGAUUGCCAAAUGUUGUCCCCAUUGUGCCUAUAAAGAUUGGAACCAACGGAAUGUUGAGCAAAAAGCUACAGCCUGUGAUGUUACAGUCAUUUAACAUUGAAGUCAAUGGGCAAAUAAUUGCUAGUCUGAGUCCUGAUGAAAUAAUGAAGCAUGGCCGACUCGGAAUGUUGAUAUUUUUUCAACGGCUUGUUUCCUGAAGUUUUGAAUGGAAAGUGUCAGAAAUGGUGCCCAGGUAAUGUUUCAUAGAGUGGAAUGAUUGACCUCAACACAAGUAUUAAAAAAAAAAGAAGCAAAACAGGUCUACAUCUCAAAACCUGAUCUCUUCCUGAACUGGCUUUAGGAGAACGAUGAUGCAUAUCAAUUUCAUCCCUGAUCUCUAUGACACCUGUGGUGGAAGUGGAGGGCAAAUCGUAAUCAGUUUGGGUUCCAGCCCCGAGGACCUUUGUAAACUUUGCUUUUUGGUGAUGACUUAAUUUCCGAGCUUGAAAAGGACGCUUGUGUGUUUAUCAUGGCCUCUCAUAUUGGAAGAUAACAUUAAUGGCUUGUGUGUUGAUCGACGGUUGUGCAUAUCUCUUGGUCAGGAAAGUUGUAGGCACCAUCGCCAUUGUAAAUCAUUUGACAGGCCCGAGUGAACGGGGCGACCUAUGAUUGGUCAGCAAUGUAUCAGAUUCCAUACCGGGGGGUGGGGAUGAAAAAACUGUUGUAGUGUUACAUAAUCAGAUUAUUUCAACUUACUUAUCCUGUGGAAAUACAGCUAUAUAGGAGAUAUUUUGAAAUUCAUAGGCACUGCAUGUUUCAACAUUUUAGAUUUGACCACAAUUUGGCACUUGAAACUAUGUUAACAGAGAAAAACUGUGUGGUUUUCGAUGAAAGUGUUAAAAGUCUAAUAUUGCAUCAUGAUUACUGUUUUAAAGUAUUUUCGUGUUUGAUUUAUAUUGAAUUCAUCUCAUCUUUUUGAAGAAUGCAUUUAUGUUCAAAAAUAAAAAUGUUCUGUGGAAUUCAAAAUUGAUGUGCUUUUAAAUUAUCAGAUUCCAAACUGGGGGUGGGGAUGAAAAAGCUGUUGUAGUGUUACAUAAUCAGAUUAUUUCAACUUACUUAUCCUAUGGAAAUACAGCUAUAUAGGAGAUAUUUUAAAAUUGAUAGGCACUGCAUGUUUCAACAUUUUAGAUUUGACCACAAUUUGGCACUUGAAACUACGUUAACAGAGAAAAACUGUGUGGUUUUCGAUGAAAGUGUUAAAAAGUCUAAUAUUGCAUCAUGAUUACUGUUUUAAAGUAUUUUCGUGUUAGAUUUAUAUUGAAUUUAUCUCAUCUUUUUACAGAAUGCAUUUAUGUUCA